UGCCUCAGUAACGGCGAGUGAAGCGGCAAGAGCUCAAAUUUGAAAUCUGGCCCCCUCGGGGUCCGAGUUGUAAUUUGCAGAGGAUGCUUCGGGUGCGGUCCCCAUCUAAGUGCCCUGGAACGGGCCGUCAUAGAGGGUGAGAAUCCCGUCUGGGAUGGGCGGCCGCGCCCGUGUGAAGCUCCUUCGACGAGUCGAGUUGUUUGGGAAUGCAGCUCUAAGCGGGUGGUAAAUUUCAUCUAAAGCUAAAUACUGGCCGGAGACCGAUAGCGCACAAGUAGAGUGAUCGAAAGAUGAAAAGCACUUUGAAAAGAGAGUUAAACAGCACGUGAAAUUGUUGAAAGGGAAGCGUUGUCCACCAGACUCGCCCGGGGGGGUUCAGCCGGCACGUGUGCCGGUGUACUCCUCUCCGGGCGGGCCAGCAUCGGUUUGGGCGGCUGGUGAAAGGCCCCGGGAAUGUACCACCCUCCGGGGUGUCUUAUAGCCCGGGGUGCCAUACAGCCAGCCUGGACCGAGGCCCGCGCUUCGGCGAGGAUGCUGGCGUAAUGGUGGUCAACGGU
rnacentral:rRNA from 1 species